rnacentral:rRNA from 1 species
GUAGAUCAGCUGUAAUAUCAAUUACCUUCCUCAAAAAUCAAUAAACAGACUCUCAAUACAUAAAAGAGAACAAUGAGGAGCAAGGAGGGAGAGGAAUCCACGGGCCCUGACAAUGAAUUAAACCAGGGAAGGAAACAAAGGACACGAAUGACAUGAGAAUCAGAGAGGAGAAAAAAAUUAACCCAACAACGAAGGGUUAAGAUCUCGAUUUACUGACAAAAUUGACACAUACGAUAGCACCAGUGGCGCACCCUCACGCCGAAGCACGCAAGGGUGACGUUGACUCCAUGGGAGGCGACCUCCGGGCAGAGGGCGUCCAGCGGAUCCUGGCCCUGGACCCGCCAGGAGGCGGUCUUGGGGUGGCGCCGGGCUCAAUGACUUGACCAGCGGCUGGAGGCGAGCCUGCCAGUGGCCAAAGCACGCAGGGGUUACGAUGCCUCCAUGGGACUCCGGGCAGAGGGCGUCCAGCGGAUCCUGGCCCUGGACCCGCCAGGAGGCGGUCUUGGGGUGGCGCCGGGCUCAAUGACUUGACUAGCGGCUGGAGGCGAGCCUGCCAGUGGCCAAAGCACGCAGGGGUUACGAUGCCUCUCCAUGGGAGGCGACCUUCGUGGCAGCGGCGCGAAGGGGAUCAGGAUGAGGGAGAGAGUGGUUGUGGUGAGGGUUUCACAGAGAGAUGGGGAUCGAGAGAGUGGUUGUGAGGAAUCUUGCACAAAGAGAUGGGGAUCAAACUCCUUGUGUACGAGGGGCUCGAAGCCGCCUAGGUCUUGGGCCAGCCUGGUGGGCUGCGGCUCCAGGGGAAGAUGGGUCGUGGGUACCAGGCC